UACGUAGGGUGCAAGCGUUAAUCGGAAUUACUGGGCGUAAAGCGUGCGCAGGCGGUUUUGUAAGUCUGUCGUGAAAGCCCCGGGCUCAACCUGGGAAUUGCGAUGGAGACUGCAAGGCUUGAAUCUGGCAGAGGGGGGUAGAAUUCCACGUGUAGCAGUGAAAUGCGUAGAGAUGUGGAGGAAUACCGAUGGCGAAGGCAGCCCCCUGGGCCAAUACUGACGCUCAUACACGAAAGCGUGGGGAGCAAACAGG
rnacentral:rRNA from 1 species